UACGGGGGGGGCCCGCGUUUUUCUUCCUUCCUUUUCUUCCCUUUCUCUUAGGCGGCCAACUAAGUCAGACGUGAAAUCCCUCGGCUUAACCGGGGAACGGCGUCUGAUACUGGAUGGCUUGAGAUUGGGAGAGGGAUGCGGAAUUCCAGGUGUAGCGGUGAAAUGCGUAGAUAUCUGGAGGAACACCGGUGGCGAAGGCGGCAUCCUGGACCAACACUGACGCUGAGUGAGCGAAAGCCAGGGGAGCAAACGGGAUUAGAUACCCCGGUAGUCCUGGCCCUAAACGAUGAAUGCUUGGUGUGACGGGUAUCGAUCCCUGUCGUGCCGAAGCUAACGCAUUAAGCAUUCCGCCUGGGGAGUACGGUCGCAAGGCUGAA
rnacentral:rRNA from 1 species